rnacentral:rRNA from 1 species
GAUCAACGCUGGCGGCGUGCCUAAUGCAUGCAAGUCGAGCGGGGUGGGCUUCGGCGCACUUACGCGGCGGACGGGUGCGGAACACGUGGUCAACCUGCCCUGAGGUGGGGGAUAGCCGUGGGAAACCGCGGGUAAUUCCGCAUGGGUUCGGGUCCCGGUGGGGGACGUGAGCAAAGGGUCUUCGGAUCCGCCUUGGGAGGGGACUGCGGCCGAUUAGCUA